UACGUAGGGACCAAGCGUUGUUCGGAUUUACUGGGCGUAAAGGGCGCGUAGGCGGCAUAUUAAGUCAGCUGUGAAAUCUCCGAGCUUAACUCGGAACUGUCAGCUGAUACUGAUCUGCUAGAGUGCGGAAGGGGCAAUCGGAAUUCUUGGUGUAGCGGUGAAAUGCGUAGAUAUCAAGAGGAACACCUGAGGUGAAGACGGGUUGCUGGGCCGACACUGACGCUGAGUGCGCGAAAGCCAGGGGAGCAAACGGG
rnacentral:rRNA from 1 species